UCCCAGGUAGUCCAGUGGUUAAGACGCUGCACUCCCAAUGCAAGGGCCCCAAGGUUCAAUCCCUGGUCAGGGAA
rfam:TPA: Bos taurus chromosome 18, whole genome shotgun sequence.